UACGUGAGGGGGCCAGCGUUUGUCCGGAUUUAUUGGGCGUAAAAGCGCUCGCAGGUGGUCCGAUGCGUCGGUGCGUGAAAGCCCCCGGCUCAACUGGGGAGUGUCGUGCGAUACGGUCGGACUGGAGGCCAGUAGGGGGAUGCGGGAAUUCCGGGUGUAGUGGUGGAAUGCGUAGAGAUCCGGAGGAACACCAGCGGCGAAGGCGGCUAU
rnacentral:rRNA from 1 species